CCUGCCCCUACAGGCGUUGCAGUGCAACUACAGGUGUUGUGUUUGUGUCAUUAGGUGGCGUACAAGAACAAGGCUAUCUACAGUCUGUGUCCUGACCAAGUGGGCGCUCAGAAUGAUUACUGGCCUGACACU